rnacentral:rRNA from 1 species
GACGAACGCUGGCGGCGUGCUUAACACAUGCAAGUCGAACGAUGCAGCCCAGCUUGCUGGGUGGAUUAGUGGCGAAAGGGUGAGUCACACGUGUGUAAUCUGCACUUCUCUCUGGGAUAAGUCCGGGUACCUGGGUCUACUAUCGGAUAGGAGCGUCAUCCGCUUGGUGGGUGUUGGCGAGAUUUAUCGUUUUUGGUUGGACUCGCGGCCGACCAGCUCGUUGGUCGGGUGAGGGCACACCAGGGCGAUGACGGGCAGCGGGCCUGAGAGGAUGCCCAGCCACGCUGGAACGGAGACACGACCCAGACUCCUACGGGAGGCAGCGGUGGAGAAGAGUACACAGUGGACGCAGGCCUGGUGCAGCGCCGCCACGUGGGGUAUAAGGUCCUUGGGUUUGGAAACCUCUUUCAUUAGGGAGGAGACGAAAGUGACGGUACCUGCAGAAGAAGCACCGGCUAACUACGUG